rnacentral:rRNA from 1 species
CAGUCGCCGCGGUAAUACGGAGGAUCCAAGCGUUAUCCGGAAUCAUUGGGUUUAAAGGGUCCGUAGGCGGUCUUGUAAGUCAGUGGUGAAAGCCCAUCGCUCAACGGUGGAACGGCCAUUGAUACUGCAGGACUUGAAUUAUUGGGAAGUAACUAGAAUAUGUAGUGUAGCGGUGAAAUGCUUAGAGAUUACAUGGAAUACCAAUUGCGAAGGCAGGUUACUACCAAUUGAUUGACGCUGAUGGACGAAAGCGUGGGUAGCGAACAGGAUUAGAUACCCUGGUAGUCCCUGUCUCUUAUAC